UACGUAGGGUCCUAGCGUUGUCCGGAAUCAUUGGGCGUAAAGAGCUCGUAGGCGGUUCAACAAGUCGGCUGUGAAAGUCCGAGGCUCAACCUCGGAAUUGAAGUCGAUACUGCUGUGACUCGAGUCCGGUAGAGGAGAAUGGAAUCCCGGGUGUAGCGGUGAAAUGCGCAGAUAUCGGGAGGAACACCAGUAGCGAAGGCGGUUCUCUGGGCCGGCACUGACGCUGAGGAGCGAAAGCGUGGGGAGCAAACAGG
rnacentral:misc_RNA from 1 species